rnacentral:rRNA from 1 species
AUCCUACGGGAGGCAGCAGUAGGGAAUCUUCCACAAUGGGCGAAAGCCUGAUGGAGCAACGCCGCGUGGGUGAAGAAGGUCUUCGGAUCGUAAAACCCUGUUGUUAGAGAAGAAAGUGCGUGAGAGUAACUGUUCACGUUUCGACGGUAUCUAACCAGAAAGCCACGGCUAACUACGUGCCAGCAGCCGCGGUAAUACGUAGGUGGCAAGCGUUAUCCGGAUUUAUUGGGCGUAUAGGGAACGCAGGCGGUCUUUUAAGUCUGAUGUGGAAGCCUUCGGCUUAACCGCAGUAGUGCAUUGGAAAC